rnacentral:rRNA from 1 species
GACGAACGCUGGCGGCGUGCUUAACACAUGCAAGUCGAACGAUGAAGCUGGAGCUUGCUCCAGUGGAUUAGUGGCGAACGGGUGAGUAACACGUGAGCAAUCUGCCCUUGACUCUGGGAUAACUGCGGGAAACUGUAGCUAAUACCGGAUACGACACCUUGGGGCAUCCCAGGGUGUGGAAAGAAUUUUCGGUGGAGGAUGACUUCGCGGCCUAUCAGCUAGUUGGUGAGGUAAUGGCUCACCAAGGCAACGACGGGUAGCCGGCCUGAGAGGGCGACCGGCCACACUGGGACUGAGACACGGCCCAGACUCCUACGGGAGGCAGCAGUGGGGAAUAUUGGGCAAUGGAGGAAACUCUGACCCAGCGACGCCGCGUGCGGGAUGAAGGCCUUC